UUUAUUGGAGAGUUUGAUCCUGGCUCAGGACGAACGCUGGCGGCGUGCCUAAUACAUGCAAGUCGAGCGGAGUUAAUCGGGAGCUUGCUCCUGAUUAGCUUAGCGGCGGACGGGUGAGUAACACGUAGGCAACCUGCCCGUAAGACUGGGAUAACUACCGGAAACGGUAGCUAAUACCGGAUACGCAAAUUCCUCGCAUGGGGGAUUUG
rnacentral:rRNA from 1 species